CCCUUAGAUGUCCUGGGCUGCACGCGCGCUACACUGAUGCGUCCAAUAAGCACCUAACCUAAUCCGAAGGGACCGGGUAACCUUAGCAAAGCGCAUCGUGAUGGGGAUAGAUUAUUGCAAUUAUUAGUCUUGAACGAGGAAUUCCUAGUAAGCGCCAGUCAGCAGCUUGCGCUGAUUACGUCCCUGCCCUUUGUACACACCGCCCGUCGCUCCUACCGAUGGGUGAUCCGGUGAAUGAUUCGGACUUCAGCGGCUCCCCUGGGGUGCGCCGGAGAAAGUUUUGUGAACCUUAUCACUUGGAGGAAGGAGAAGUCGUAACA
rnacentral:rRNA from 1 species